UGCUGCCACCCAGUGUGAAGGCAAACGGCUUUUGUGAAAACAGCGUUCUUGGUGGGGUUCGGCUUCUCCGGCCUCUCCAGGUCUGGGCAGCAGAAUCUUCAUAGAAAAAGCCCCAUGGGCCGCUCCAGUGUGGGUGCUGCCUGCAGCUGUGCCUGGCAUUGUCUGCGUGGAACCUCCUGCUGGUGCCAAAGGUCCCGAUGAGGCUGGGUGAGCCUAUACAGUGCAGUGAGAAUGGCAAGCACUAGCUAAUCCAUUGAUGAUCGAUUUUUGAGGUCUCUUCAACAGCACUCCAGCCUAUGGGGAUGGGAGGAGAGGUGUGGGUGCUGGGACUGUUGGGGUUUUGAAAUCAACCAAUUUCGUUACCUGAGUGUGGAUAUAAAGUACUGAUGACAGAAGGGUUUGAAAUUGAACUGAAAUGAGGUUUCUGGAUUACCCGUGGGCUUCAAUUACCUGAUCUAUCUCUUUCUCGCUGUGGGACAG
rnacentral:lncRNA from 10 species